UUAAAACCAGGUGUGCUGGAGCACUGUGGGUCAGCAGUCAUGCAAACAAAAGUACACACCUGCCAACUCAUGAACGUUAUUUGCACUACAACUAAGUUAUUUUUAAAAUACCUCCGCAAUGUUGUCCCCGUCGGUGGUCUUCUUGGAGGAUGCGGAUGAAGCUCGACUAGCCGCCAUGGUGGCUAAAAGCCGAGUGUUACCUGCUAACAAAGCCACCGUGUCUGCUCGGCCUUCAUGUCGCCUCAACACCCUCGAUAACCGGCCUCCAAGUUGUUGACCUAUGGACUCGGCGCUAACACACACCCGCUGCAAGGGUCCCAAGUUGAAACCGCAGGAGUCCCGGUUGUGGCGGAGGUGCGUCGACGAUGGUUCCGGUUGUUGUCCCCCGAGUUUGCAGAUUCUGAUGGUGACGAUGUGAGCGACCUUGGCAGCGAAAAUCGAAGUUCUAGAGAUUGAGGCUUCAUCACACGCUUGUGAACGGAGGAGGAGGAAGCUUGAUGAAGAUGGACGGCCCUUAGGGGAAGUGUGAGCUCCGUCCUCGAGUGACCGGCAGAAGCGAGCAUUGAAGUGGACAAUUGUUACUGGCGCAGGUGCCUUGAAGAAGCGACAAGGAUCCCCUGCCAACAGGAGUGCUGCAUGGAGGCGACCUACAGCAUGUCCGAUUCCUGCCACCAGGGGCGCCCUACAGAGGCAUCAAGCAGUCCCCGUCACCAAGAGAGAGUUGCAUGGAGGUGGCCGACAGAACAAGUGAUACCUGCUGCUGGCGGUGUCUUGAGGUGUCGGGCAACCCCCACAGUCAAGGCCACUGCAGGGAGACCAUAUGCUUGCUAACUCUCCCGACCUUCAACUGCUGCCACCCACAACACUGGAGACAUCAAGGCCGAGAGGAACAGCUCCACAGACCUGGAGGACAGUGAUAAUGAAGACGUGGUUCGCCAAGCCACCACCACACAGGCGGGGGCCACUGCUCCGAGGCAGUUGUACUGCAGCCAGCUGGGGAGCCGGUACGUCCUGGUGGCAAUGGUCUCUCUUAGGAAGUGGCUUGAAGCCUACGUCGUCCCCAACUAGCGUGUCACCACCAGCACUGAGCACCCAGUAAAUGAUGUACAGCUGGUUUGGUCCGCCAGGGGAGCUGCACAGCGACCAGGGCGGAACGUCAAGGCCUGGGUCUUCAGCGAGGUAUUAUGUCAGUGUUAGGAUUGGUGUAUCGUAUUCAUGCCUUACCUUUUAUCUGUAGAUUUAUAUUUGUAUGUACUAUAUCAUUCACGUGUAAACACACCCUAAAUUAUUGCACCUUUUCCAUACAGCCCCACCCAAUUCAGAAGAGACCAUGUAAGCUUCUCAAAAUAUACAAUUUAUUUCAAAAGUGUGAAUGCCACCGUCAAUAUUUUCCAGUAAUUACAAACCUUACCUUAUCCUUCCAAACAUGUAGGUGAAUGACACAUGUUUAACAGGUGCUUGUUAUCCCUUUUGGGGCCACUUCUAAUGAUACUUUACAAACUGGACAUGAAAUCUCAAUGCAUUUUUAUUGCAGCAGCUAGAACAGACAAGCUCAGUUGGACCUCCGCUAGUUUCAAGUGGACUCAUUGAACAAACAAAAAACAAGCAUGAAUAAGGACUAACAUGAAAAGAUGAACAAUAACACUGACACCUGAGCAGGGUUUACACUGUGGGAUUAGCCAUAUGGAUCGUUAAAUUCUCCUAUGUUACUCAGUCAGGUUCCAUUUAUUUUCAUUAAGACACAAACAACAGACUUGAAUGCAGCUGACGGGAACAGAUGACCAGACACGUACAAUCAUAUUUACAAAUUCAUAUUUACAAAUAAUAGACACUGUACAAGGGCUUACAAGGGAGGUUGAAUUGUGUGUUAAACAAAAUCGGGAAGAAAUAAAACCUUUCGACGGAAGACUCUUUGGCACUGGUGAGGAGAUGAGGCAACAUACAGUUAAAUGUCAGGGCCAAUGUGCUUAUUGGGUGUCUCAUUGGGGUGGGGGGGGACAUGCUAACACUGUCAAUCAUAGUGAUGGAGUCACGUGCUGUGAAGCACUGAACACUUCACUUCUCAUAUCAGAAGGUGCUUUCUCAUCUUGUAUCACAGUCACACGCCAUCUGCAGUAAUAAAUAAUGUAGGAACCAUGAUGCUUUCUAAUAUCAUAAAUAAAUGUACAGUCAACAACGCUCCGAGUGAAUGAUUCAUAAAUAGAAAUGUCAGUUGGAGUUCUGACAGUAUAAAAAGGGACGGUGAGUGUCCAAGUACACUUCCUGAACGUUAUAAUACUUGUUUUUUUUUUUUUUAAUGGCAUUCCUUCCCUUUGAUAUACAGGCUACCUUCAUAGCUAUUUUUGCUGAAUUUGCUUCCUGACUUUUCUUCUGUUGAAAAAGCACAACAAUGACAUUCGAAUGAAAUCUCGAACAGAACUUCAAUCGUGUACCUUGAAUUCUUCCUCAUCCAUCUUUUGGAUUUAGGGUGCACAAGGCCAGAGAAACAAGUGUAUCAACAGGAAUUUUAACCCAUAGACUCAUUUUAAUUUACAGCCUGCCUUCUUCUGAGGAAUUCAGUUGUGUUUUAGGCUGCGUUCACACUUGUGGUUCGGUACCAAAGACUUGACUGAGCAGCUUUCGUGACAUAACUCAAACACCCCAAACCAAAAUCGCAUCUGCUAGGUUGAAUAUAUAGCUUAUUUUUAUAUUUUGCUAUGCAGUCGCAGUGGUUUCGGUCGAGGACCACCUGUGAAUGGCCAAAAAAAUGGCGAGUAAUAGAUUCGCCCAUAAACUAUAUGCUUGAGACAUGGCUUACUCCCCCCUCCCAACUCCUCCAAACGUUCUCCAUUUUCGGAUCAACAUUUGCAACAAGUCUGAUUGGAAUUAUUAGAUUUGAUUCAGCUCCAGAACCCUCACCUUCUCUCUUCAAUUGCCAUUGCUAACUUGUGACACAAUCUAGGUUUACGCGGCAGUUUGUGUUCUAUUUGGGGGAUCUUUUUAAGCUGUGGCAGCAUCUGAGAAAUCUAUAAGCAAGUUUCACGUUUGCAUCUCAGCACACAACGAUGGUGCAUUCAGAAACCACCGAACAAAGUAUG